rnacentral:rRNA from 1 species
CCUACGGGUGGCAGCAGUGGGGAAUAUUGGGCAAUGGGCGCAAGCCUGACCCAGCAACGCCGCGUGAAGGAAGAAGGCUCUCGGGUUGUAAACUUCUUUUAUCAGGGACGAAGCAAGUGACGGUACCUGAUGAAUAAGCAACGGCUAACUACGUGCCAGAAGCCGCGGUAAUACGUAGGUGGAAAGCGUUAACCGGAUUUACUGGGUGUAAAGGGCGUGUAGGCGGGAAAGCAAGUCAGAUGUGAAAACCAUGGGCUCAACCUGUGGCCUGCAUUUGAAACUGGUUUUCUUGAGUACUGGAGAGGCAGACGGAAUUCCUAGUGUAGCGGUGAAAUGCGUAGAUAUUAGGAGGAACACCAGUGGCGAAGGCGGUCUGCUGGACAGCAACUGACGCUGAGGCGCGAAAGCGUGGGGAGCAAACAGGAUUAGAUACCCGAGUAGUC